CAUGUCAGAUUUGCUCUAAAUGCUUUGGUUUUUGAGUUAUAAGCCAAAAACUGCAUUUUACCCCUAUGUUCUAUUUUUAGCCAUGGCGGCCAUCUUGGUUGGUUGGCCGGGUCACGCCACACAUUUUUUAAACUAGAUAUCCCAAAGAUGAUUGUGGACCAAGUUUGGAAGUAAUUUGGCCCAGUAGUUUCAGAGGAGAAGAUUUUUGUAAAAGAUUACUAAGAUUUACGAAAAAUGGUUAAAAAUUGACUAUAAAGGUCAAUAACUCCUAAAGGGGUCAACUGACCAUUUUGGUCAUGUUGACUUAUUUGUAAAUCUUACUUUGCUGAACAUUAUUGCUGUUUACAGUUUAUCUCUAUCUAUAAUAAUAUUCAAGAUAAUAACCAAAAACAGCAAAAUUUCCUUAAAAUUACCAAUUCAGGGGCAGCAA
rnacentral:lncRNA from 1 species